CCUCAACCGAAAAAAGAAUAGUUCAUUCAACCAAUUUCAUUCCAUUAACAUCAUAGAAGAUUUCACAAAAGAAAAUUUUCUCCAACACAUUUUAGCCAUCAAGUCCAAUUUAGCCUUAUCCUUGCAAGCUUUUCACAACGGAAUUAGCCUAAUCAAACUUCUCAUAAUACAUUCGAAAUUUCUAUUUUACGUUUAUUUUCCAUGUAAUUCACUUAUCCAACAUUGGCAAGGCAACAAGAUACCUCAUCCGCUGAAAAUAAAAAAUUUGGCAUCACUACAUCAAGGUAAAUGUCAAAACUUUUAAAAUCCAAACGUCUACAACUUCGCUGCGUCCAAAGUGACGAUAAAACACAACAUGCCCAUUUCCUAAUUCGAUGUUAGGUAAUCCCUCAAACAACUAAUAUUUCUGAAUAUGCAUAAAACAAGGUAUUGACUUUCUCAUGCUUCACUCAUCCCAGCCAGUAGCAGAUGCAGGAGCUACUUCACCAGCAAAAUGAGG
rnacentral:misc_RNA from 1 species